rnacentral:lncRNA from 1 species
UUUUUAUUGGCCAGAGCCCAGUCACAUGACCCCAACUUAACUGCAAGGGAUGCUGGGCAAUAUAGUCCAGUAGUGUGGCUAGCAGGAAAAUUAAAGGGGUUUGGUGAAUCCAUUGCUCCUGCCAUCACCCAGAUUAAAGACCUGCCCUCUCAUCCGCUGCCUGUUUUUCUUAUGUCCAGCAGUCAGGGAUUGAGUGGGCAAGCACUGUGGGCUGCAGACACCAAGCUCCACCAUGAUUCCCCCUCCACUCUCAGAGGCUCCAUCCAGCUGGCAGGCUCACAGCACUGCAGCCCAGCAUCUGAAGUGGUACUGUCCCUAGGCUGAUGACUGUCACAUUUUUAGUGGGGCCAAAACUUUCCUCCAAGAUUCAGAUGUGUGUCACCAACUAGAGAGCAGGCUUGGAAUUUAAAAAUAAAGUUUUCAAUUCUUAAUACUUGAAUUAAAAGGAGAAUGGUCAUUAAACAGAAACUGCUGCUAAAAGUGACAAGCAACUUAGCAAUACACAUUAGGAGCAAAGAUUAUAAUUUAUGCAGCAUAUUUUCAUAUACAGGCAAAUCUGAGAUAGAAGGAAAAACAAAUGGCUUGGAAUAAAACAAAAUCCUUAAAAUGUGUAAGUCUCUGACCUCAGAUAGAACUUCAGUAUGAACCAGCUGCAGAACAGCAUCUUGGGGCCAGUGGGUUGGGGAGGUUUACUGUUGAUUUGCUAUUAUUCUGUGAGUUGGGUUGUAUUCACACU